CCUACGGGUGGCAGCAGUGGGGAAUAUUGCACAAUGGGGGAAACUCUGAUGCAGCGACGCCGCGUGAGUGAAGAAGUAUUUCGGUACGUAAAGCUCUAUCAGCAGGGAAGAAAAUGACGGUACUUGACUAAGAAGCCCCGACUAACUACGUGCCAGCAGCCGCGGUAAUACGUAGGGGGCAAGCGUUAUCCGGAUUGACUGGGUGGAAGGGGAGCGUAGACGGCAGCGCAAGUCUGAAGUGAAAUCCCAUGGCUUAACCAUGGAACUGCUUUGGAGACUGUGCAGCUAGAGUGCAGGAGAGGUAAGCGGAAUUCCUAGUGUAGCGGUGAAAUGCGUAGAUAUUAGGAGGAACACCAGUGGCGAAGGCGGCUUACUGGACUGUAACUGACGUUGAGGCUCGAAAGCGUGGGGAGCAAACAGGAUUAGAUACCCGAGUAGUC
rnacentral:rRNA from 1 species